rnacentral:rRNA from 1 species
CCCUCGAGAUGGGGAUAGCCAGUUAGAAAUAGUGGAUAAUACCGAAUACGCUCAUGACCCUGUGGGGAUAUGAGGAAAACAGGCUACGGCCUGGCUCGAGGUAUGGGCCCGCGUCCCAUUAGCUAGUUGGUGAGGUAACGGCCCACCAAGGGCGACGAUCGGGUAUCCGGCCUGAGAGGGUGUACGAACACAUUGGGACUGAGAUACGGCCCAAACUCCUACGGGAGGCAGCACGCUAAGAAUAUUCCGCAAUGGACGAAAGUCUGACGGAGCGACGGCCCGCGUGGAUGAAAAGAAGGCCGGAAGGUUGUAAAAUCCUUUUGCUGAUGAAGAAUAAGUGUGGUAGGGAAUGACCGCAUGAUGACAUUAGUCGGUGAAUAACGCCCCGGCUAACUACGUGCCAGCCGCCGC